rnacentral:lncRNA from 1 species
CAAUAUUAACUCCCUUAGUUCUACAUCAAUGAGAUCUCUACUUCUUACUAAGAAUGCCCUUCCUAGAAUGGGCGGUGUUUCAGAAUCUUGAGGAGUGUAUAGGAUCAUAAAAUUUACGGGAAGUAAUAAUCCAUCUUCUCUAACGAGUACAUCUUAAAGCAUGCAAUAUAAUCCAAUGUUAGAGUCAUUCGAGUUGGUUUCUGC